UGGCGGACGGGUGAGUAAUGUCUGGGAAACUGCCCGAUGGAGGGGGAUAACUACCGGAAACGGUAGCUAAUACCGCAUAACGUCGCAAGACCAAAGAGGGGGACCUCCGGGCCUCUUGCCAUCGGAUGUGCCCAGAUGGGAUUAGCUAGUAGGUGGGGUAACGGCUCACCUAGGCGACGAUCCCUAGCUGGUCUGAGAGGAUGACCAGCCACACUGGAACUGAGACACGGUCCAG
rnacentral:rRNA from 1 species